rnacentral:rRNA from 1 species
UACGUAGGGUGCAAGCGUUGUCCGGAAUUAUUGGGCGUAAAGAGCUCGUAGGCGGUUUGUCGCGUCGACUGUGAAAUCCCGGGGCUCAACCCCGGGUCUGCAUUCGAUACGGGCAGACUAGAGUUCGGUAGGGGAGUCUGGAAUUCCUGGUGUAGCGGUGAAAUGCGCAGAUAUCAGGAGGAACACCGGUGGCGAAGGCGGGACUCUGGGCAGAUACUGACGCUGAGGAGCGAAAGCGUGGGGAGCAAACAGG